rnacentral:tRNA from 1 species
GGUGGCUCAGAGGGUAGAGCACAGGACUUGCACAUAUGAGGCCCUGGGUUCUAUCCCCAGCACCA